rnacentral:rRNA from 1 species
GUGAACGCUGGCGGUAGGCCUAACACAUGCAAGUCGAACGGCAGCACAGAGGAGCUUGCUCCUUGGGUGGCGAGUGGCGGACGGGUGAGAAAUACAUCGGAAUCUACUCUUUCGUGGGGGAUAACGUAGGGAAACUUACGCUAAUACCGCAUACGACCUUCGGGUGAAAGCAGGGGAUCGCAAGACCUUGCGCGAUUGAAUGAGCCGAUGUCGGAUUAGCUAGUUGGCGGGGUAAAGGCCCACCAAGGCGACGAUCCGUAGCUGGUCUGAGAGGAUGAUCAGCCACACUGGAACUGAGACACGGUCCAGACUCCUACGGGAGGCAGCAGUGGGGAAUAUUGGACAAUGGGCGCAAGCCUGAUCCAGCCGUACCGCGUGUGUGAAGAAGGCCUUCGGGUUGUAAAGCCCUUUUGUUGGGAAAGAAAAGCACACGGUUAAUACCCGAGUGUUCUGACGGUACCCAAAGAAUAAGCACCGGCUAACUUCGUGCCAGCCGCCGCGGUAAUAC